AUUGAACGCUGGCGGCAGGCCUAACACAUGCAAGUCGAACGAGAGUGGGACAGGGGUGUAUUGUGUGUGAAACUGCCCGAUGGGGGGGGAGAACUACUGGAAACGGUAGCUACUACCCCCUACCAUCUGGUGUGCGCCGAUGGGUGUAGCGAGUGGGUGGGGUAACGGCUCACCUGGGCGACGAUCCCUAGCUGGUCUGAGAGGAUGACCAGCCACACUGGAACGGAGACACGGUCCAGACUCCUACGGGAGGCAGCAGUGGGGAAUAUUGCACAAUGGGCGCAAGCCUGAUGCAGCCAUGCCGCGUGUAUGAAGAAGGCCUUCGGGUUGUAAAGUACUUUCAGCGGGGAGGCGUUACUCGCAGAAGAAGCACCGGCUAACUCCGUGCCAGCAGCCGCGGUAAUUC
rnacentral:rRNA from 1 species